GUAACGUGAGCAUGCCAGGCCGGAAGCGCCGAGACUCGGGAGCCCUGGAACCAGGGUUUGGCGGCCCGUCAGUGGGACUGAUGCUGAGCUAUCUGGAGUUGUUUUGAAGAAUGAAUAGGAAUACCUAUCUAGUACUGAGCCUGGCAUAAUACAUAAGACAAAGUUUAUUUUA